rnacentral:rRNA from 1 species
GAUCCUGGCUCAGGAUGAACGCUAGCUACAGGCUUAACACAUGCAAGUCGUGGGGCAGCAUGGAGUUGCUUGACAAACUCUGAGUGGCGACCGGCGCACGGGUGAGUAACGCGUAUCCAACCUGGCCCUUAGGUAGGGGAUAGCCCGGCGAAAGUCGGAUUAAUACCCUAUGUUUUCCAAUGCAGACAUCUAAAAUGGAACAAAGAUUCAUCGCUAAGGGAUGGGGAUGCGUCUGAUUAGGUAGUCGGCGGGGUAACGGCCCACCGAGCCGGCGAUCAGUAGGGGUUCUGAGAGGAAGGUCCCCCACAUUGGAACUGAGACACGGUCCAAACUCCUACGGGAGGCAGCAGUGAGGAAUAUUGGUCAAGUGGGCGAGAGCCUGAACCAGCCAAAAGUAGCGUGCAGGAAGACCGGCCCUAGUGGGUUAGUAAACUGUCUUUUAUAGUGGGGAUAAAGUGCGGGACGUGUCCCGUUUUGUAGGUACCAUAUGAAUAAGGACCGGCUAAUUCCGUGCCAGCCGCGGC